AUUGAACGCUGGCUGCAGGCCUAACACAUGCAAGUCGAACGCGUGGCGGACGGGUGAGUAAUGCCUGGGACCCUGCCUGAUGGAGCUGGAUAACUACUGGACACGGUAGCUAAUACUGCCCACCCUCAGAUGUGUCCAGAUGGGUUUAGUUUGGUGGUGGGGUAAGGGCUCACCAAGCCGACGAUCCCUAGCUGGUCUGAGAGGAGGACAAGCCACACUGGAACUGAGACACGGUCCAGACCACUACGGGAGGGGGGAGGGGGGAAAGUUGCACAAGUGGAGCAGGGCUGACCCGACCAUGCCGCGUGGCUGGAGAGGGCAUUCGGGUUGUAAAGUACUUCUAGCGGGGAGUAGGUAUUCGAAGAAGAAGCACCGGCUAACUCCGUGCCAGCAGCCGCGGUAAUAC
rnacentral:rRNA from 1 species